GAGUUCAUGCCCUCACGGGUAGAUCUCCACCCUUGAAUACAUACUAUGUUGCUUUGGCGGGCCGCCUAGGCUACCGGCUCCGGCUGGUAUGUGCCCGCCAGAGGACCCAAACUCUGUUUACAGUGUCGUCUGAGUACUAUAUAAUAGUUAAAACUUUCAACAACGGAUCUCUUGGUUCU
rnacentral:misc_RNA from 1 species